CAAUUAACUGCCCAGGCUGCACCUGAGGAAGGAGACAGGGAGGAAGCCACUAAUUGGAAAUGGGCUCAGCUGGGCAGGAAAAGGGCCUAUAAAAAGCCCAGGAGCUAUGUUUACUAACUGAGGCUACAAGGAAGUAGUCCAUGGCCACUCUUUGGGAGGAGGGUGUUAGAAGCUAGUUUUUGGCCCUAUAGAACUGGAGAGGAAGGAUGUCUUGCAGUUAGAGCACUGGAGGAUGUAGUGCUGCUACAUGACUGUAGGGAAAGCACUUUGUUUUCAAAUGGAAGGUGCUACAGAAAACAAACCCAUGAGGAGCCAAGGGAGCUGUGUGAGAUCCUCGGAGCUUGGCUUAUCCCUGGGCGUAUAGUGGUCAAACCCUAUAUCAGGCAAGGAAGGAAGGAGACAGAGAAGUUAAAGUGGAAACUCAGUUAUGCAUUCAAGACCCCCUGAAAACUGCUCGCAGCUCCCCUGUGGGGCAUGGACCCUUGGUUGAGAACCUCUGGUAUACUGCUUGCUGCUCAGUGAACACAUUAUGCGUGUGAGGAGUCUGUGUAUUGUGUAAAUGUUCCUUCAGGGACCUUUCAAAGCUGCUGAAUUAUUGGGCCUAUAGACUGUUACUUGAUGAUGUUGGUAAUUUUAGUUACAGGGGAUGUCUACAACACAUAACAUUAACUCGAGGAAAAUUCAUGAGCAUCAUUAUAUCAUUGCAGAUGCAAAGAUUAAGUGUGGAAAUGUAUUCUAGUGGCUGGAACAGGAGACUGGGAGACAGGAGGUCACAUGGGCUCUCUCUGACUCACUUAUUUAUCAGCUCUGUGCCUCUGCUUACCCACCUAUAUAACACCUCAGAGUUAUAAUUCUCACAGAAGCAUUUCUAGGCUCGGGUAGAAGUUGGCAAAGACACUUCAGCAUCUUGGCUGCAAGGUGCUACAGAAAUGCAAAGCAUUAUUUAAAAAAAAAUUGUUCAAAAAUUAAAUGUGUGGCGUCGCCAAUUAUGAAGUAACUGGUCUUAAUUCCCUCCAUCCUAAGUUCUCAAAGGCUUUAUUGUCUGUGUAUGAGGACCAAUGGACUAACCUUUAUGUGAAUGAAAAAUAAGCCUGUGUUAGGGGAGCACCAAACAGCUUAUCUCUAAAACUGCACUCUUGAAAUAGAAAACUAGCUAAGCUCUCUCAUUAAAUGUAUACUGCCCAUUUUUACAAAAACGUGCUUAGUUUUGUAAUAAAACUCUCAGAAAACUUCAACUAAGCUCUUUCUAAUGGAACUUCUUGCCUCUACUUGUGGCUUUUGAGCUACCUGUAUAUUUUUCUGGAAAUGAUAGGCUCACUUAGUCACCAGGGACUCCCUUCAGGGAGCAGGAUGGCAACACUCCCUUCCACUGUUGCCAACUCUUGUGAUAUUUGAUAUUUUUCUUAAAGCACCAGCUUCUAGAAUUGAGAAAUUUUGUAAGGAAAUCUCAACUUUUAGUUAACAAAAGUAAAAUAACCUCUAGUUUUCAUAGUUGCAGAAAAAAGCUUGACAAGGUUACCUGAGUACCCUACAGGCUCAGAAACCAGAGAGCAAACAAAAGGAACCCAACAGUUGUUAUCCCCAAUGAUUUUUAAGCAAGUCUCUUGAUUUUUGUGGCCUGACUCAUGAUUUUUUUUGGACACUUGGGGUGGGCAAUAUCUCUCUUCCAGUGGGGAAAAUGGACAGGUACAAGGACCUGAUGGCAAACGGAUGCCCUCAGUCUGAUUAAAGAAAGCAAAAGUAGGCUGGAGGAAAGAACACAGUAUGUGGUUCCAAGCUGCCUCUCAGAAAUGCCUGUUUCUAGAGAUUUAAAGGUGCAGUACCCAGAAAACAAAGGCUAUGGUUUCUUCCUGUGAACACCAUUGCUCAAAUUGUCCCUGGAGUUAAUGUGCAACAUCCGCACAAGGCACAUCACAACCAGGAGAUCUUGGAUGAAAUUCUCGGCUCAUUGAUGUAAACGGUUUUCCCAUUGACUUCAAUUGAGGCAGGAUUUCACCUCUUGUGCUAAAACACUGAUUCCUUAUGAAGAAACUGGUGUACCUUCUUUAAAGGAAAACUAAUAUGUAAAACAUAGAGACAACACUGGGAUUUUCGACUGAUUGCUUUUUCAGAGUAGCUGCCUUUUAGGGUCUAAAUAGACUGACUUCUCUUUGGGUGAGACUUUUUAUAUGCUACAUUUCAUCCCAGAGUACACUUUAUGUCUGCUGUAUAUAAAGUCCUGAAAACAGAGUUUAGAAUGGAAAAACAGAUAAAACUUUUAUUACAGUGCUGCUGCAGGUAGGGGCUGCAGUAAAUCAAAAACUUAGUUCCCACAAAAGGCAUUCCUGAAACCUCACACAUGAUACUUCACUUCCAGAGAAGUCCCUCUGAUUAAUGGAAUAACAGAAUUGUUUUCUGGUAUAUAAUUUGGAUUUA